GAUGAACGCUGGCGGCGUGCCUAAUACAUGCAAGUCGAGCGAACAGAUGAGGAGCUUGCUCCUCUGACGUUAGCGGCGGACGGGUGAGUAACACGUGGAUAACCUACCUAUAAGACUGGGAUAACUUCGGGAAACCGGAGCUAAUACCGGAUAAUAUAUUGAACCGCGUGGUUCAAUAGUGAAAGACGGUUUUGCUGUCACUUAUAGAUGGAUCCGCGCCGCAUUAGCUAGUUGGUAAGGUAACGGCUUACCAAGGCAACGAUGCGUAGCCGACCUGAGAGGGUGAUCGGCCACACUGGAACUGAGACACGGUCCAGACUCCUACGGGAGGCAGCAAUAGGGAAUCUUCCGCAAUGGGCGAAAGCCCGACGGAGCAACGCCGCGUGAGUGAUGAAGGUCUUCGGAUCGUAAAACUCUGUUAUUAGGGAAGAACAAAUGUGUAAGUAACUAUGCACGUCUUGACGGUACCUAAUCAGAAAGCCACGGCUAACUACGUG
rnacentral:rRNA from 1 species